rnacentral:lncRNA from 1 species
UCCAUCCGCCACCUUCUUUUGAGCUCGAGCUGCUGUGCUGCAUCUCCGACCAGAGCCUCUGCGAGCACAGAGGUCUCUGGUAGCAGGCCUCCGGAACUUCUCCCGUCAAGCGUACUCUGGUCGGGGUAGGCGGGAAAUUAAGUUUUUGGGGAGCACCUUCCGGUGCGACUGCUUCCUGUUGUCCCAACGUGACUGCGACUGCUUCACCUUCGUCAACUGCUGCUGUUGUGAUGGCUGUCGGUACCAGAAGUACCCCUGCUGCCGGGAAUGACGUCACCAACGACAACACCGCAGGAGGCGGUAGCGACGUCAACAUGACUGGUGGCUCACUUUUCGCGGGUACCGGAAGUGCCACGCUAGGGUAUAAUGCUAAUAUUCUCUAUGCGCUUUAUUUUGUUACUGUAGUUCUAUUACUUCGCAUAAAAUGUUUUGCUGGAAGUAGUAGCAGUAGCAAUUAUGAAGCUGUUGCUUGUGUAAUACUUGUGUUAGUAUAUUGGUUAUCGUUUUUAUGGAAUAAUACAUGGUGUAAAAUGACUAAAUAUCCAACAAUCCAAAAACUUAAUAAGUCAUUUUCAUCUGCUAGCUUUGCUGCAUCCAUGAGGCCACCACCUUUAAAGGGUGGUGGAUCCAACUAUAAGAUAUGGUGAUCCCGUUGCAUGUUGUGGCUUACCGCUAUGCGCUGUGAGCAUGCUGUCAGAGGAAGGCACACGGAACUGCCUCUUUCUCCUGAUGAAGAGAGCAAGUUCAGUGAGGCGGAUAACCUGCUCAAGCUGUCGCUCAUUAGCGUGAUAGAUGAGGGUAUGGUACCACUGUACAUGGACAUGCCUACGGGCAAGGACAUGUGGGAUGCACUGCUGGCCAAGUUCGGAGUUCCUGACGCUGGCAGUGAGCUGUACCUCAUGGAGCAGUUCUGUGACUACAAGAUGGUUGACGACCGUUCAGUGGUAGAACAAGCUCAUGAGAUACAGAUGCUAGCCAAGGAGCUUAAGAACAACAAGUGUGCGCUUCCCGACAAGUUUGUGGCCGGCGGUAUUAUCGCUAAGCUGCCACCUACUUGGAGGGACUUUGCUACCUCUCUCAAACACAGGAGGCAAGAGUUCAGUGUGACUGAUCUAGUUGCUUCUCUCAGUGUUGAGGAGAAUGCGAGGGCAAAGGACACACGUGGCAAGAAAGUGCAGACCGAGGGAGGCACUAGCGCCAACUUGGUGCAGAGGAGGGACCCUCAGGCCUUCCGCAAUAGGAAAAACAAGAAGAACAAGAAUCCCAAAGUGAGACCACAAUAUCAAGCUUUCAAGAAGAAGGCAAACAAAGAGAAGAAAGGUGGCUGUUGCUUUGUGUGCGGUAGCACUGAUCACUGGGCAAAAGAGUGCCCGGACCACAAGGAUAAGCAGCAAAAGAAGACAGCCAACAUAGUUGUUAGCGAGGCUGGAGGAUCUGGGUAUGGUAAUUAUAUACCAACAACUCUUUCAGUCUGUCAUUCUCCUGAUUGGUGGGUUGACACAGGGGCUAAUAUACAUGUAUGCGCUGACCGCUCUCUGUUCUCUUUGUACCCGGAAGGACGAGGUGCCUCCCUGCUGAUGGGAAACGGAACGCAUAUCUGAAGUUUACUUCGGGAAAGACCGUGCAGCUGAAGAACGUGCAGCAUGUCCCUUCCAUAAAGAAGAAUCUCGUCAGCGGGUCCCUAAUGUGUAGGGAUGGUUUCAAACUUUCUUUUGAGUCCAAUAAGUGUGUUGUAUCGAGAUAUGGAACAUUUGUUGGUAAGGGCUAUGAGAGCGGAGGCUUGUUCCGCUUUUCUUUGAUGGAUUGUUGUAAUGUCGUGAACCAUGUGAGACAUGAUGAUGAUUGUAAUAUUUGGCAUUCUCGACUUUGCCAUAUUAAUAUUGGAUGUAUGACGCGCUUAGCUAAAAUGAGUUUAAUUCCUAAAUUCGAUUGGGUCCAAGGUUCUAAGUGCCAUGCUUGUGUGCAAGCAAAGCAACCUUGCAAACCUCACAAGGUUGUAAAGGAGGCGAGGAAUACGGCACCACUAGACCUCAUUCAUUCUAACUUAUGCGAAAUGAAUGGCGUGCUGACCAAAGGUGGCAAGAAAUAUUUCAUGACACUCAUCGAUGAUAGCACUAGAUUUUGCUAUGUGUACCUCUUAAAGACAAAAGAUGAAGCAUUGCACUACUUCAAAAUUUAUAAAGCCGAAGUUGAAAAUCAACUUGAAAAGAAAAUCAAACGAUUGCGGUCCGAUCGCGGGGGUGAAUAUUUUUCAAAGGAAUUUGACUCAUUCUGCGAGGAACAUGGGAUUAUUCAUGAGAGGACGCCUCCUUUCUCCCCCCAAUCCAACGGGAUUGCCGAAAGAAAGAAUCACACGCUAACUGACUUGGUUAACGCCAUGUUAGACACUGCGAGACUUUCCAAGGAAUGGUGGGGUGAGGCUAUAUUGACUGCAAGUCAUGUCCUGAAUAGAGUUCCUACAAAGAAUAAAGAGAAAACACCAUUUGAGGAAUGUGAAAAGAAGAGACUAACUCUCUCAUACCUGCGAACUUGGGGUUGCUUGGCCAAAGUGAAUGUGCCAUUCAACAAGAAGCACAAACUUGGACCAAAGACUGUAGAUUGUGUCUUUCUCGGAUAUGCAAUAAACAGCGUAGGCUACAGAUUUUUAGUUGUGAAAUCUGGAAUCCCCGACAUGAGGGUCGGCGGAAUAUUUGAAUCCAGAGAUGCAACAUUCUUCGAGAAUGAAUUUUCCAUGAGAGGAAAUGUACCAAGCACAUCGAGUAAGGGAGCUCCUGAUGCUCCUGAUACUUUUGUGCCAGUGGAGUACACUAAACAACCCACUACUGAAAGUCUUGAGGAGGAAAAUGAUGGUGUCGCUCGAAAGAGUAAGAGACCAAGGACUGCAAAAUCCUUUGGUGAUGACUUUGCCAUAUAUCUCGUGGAUGACACUACAACAACCAUUAAAGAGGCAUUUUCCUCUCCUGACGCUGACUAUUGGAAGGAAGCAAUACGGAGUGAGAUGGAUUCAAUUAUGUCCAAUGGUACUUGAGAAGUGGUUGAUCGUCCGUAUGGUUGCAAACCUAUAGGAUGUAAGUGGGUGUUCAAGAAAAAGCUUAGGCCUGAUGGUACAAUAGAAAAGUACAAGGCUAGGCUUGUGGCCAAGGGUUACACCCAAAAGGAAGGGGAGGAUUUCUUUGACACCUACUCACCUAUAGCCCGAUUGACUACAAUUCGAGUACUACUUGCCUUGGCAGCCUCUCAUGGUCUUCUCGUUCAUCAGAUGGACGUGAAGACUGCUUUCCUAAAUGGAGAAUUAGAAGAGGAGACCUACAUGGAUCAGCCUGAUGGGUUCGUAGUAGAAGGUCAAAGGGGCAAGGUGUGUAAAUUAUUGAAGUCCUUGUAUGGCCUAAAACAAGCUCCUAAACAAUGGCAUGAAAAGUUUGAUAAGACCAUGACGUCUGCAGGCUUUGUUGUCAAUGAGGCCGACAAAUGUGUCUACUACCGUUUUGGUGGAGGAGAAGGGGUAAUCCUGUGCCUAUAUGUGGAUGACAUCCUAAUAUUUGGCACGAACCUCAAUGUGAUUGAGGAAGUCAAAAACUUUCUGUUCAAGAACUUUGACAUGAAAGACUUCGGAGUGGCUGAUGUGAUUUUAAACAUUAAGCUACAAAAGGGAGAAAAUGGUGGGGUUACUCUUAUGCAGUCCCACUAUGUUGAAAAGAUUCUAAGUCGCUUUGGCUACAGUGACUGUAAACCCAUGUCCACUCCCUAUGAUCCAAGUCUAAUUCUGAGAAAGAACAAAAGGAUCAUGAGAGACCAAUUGAGGUACUCCCAAAUCAUUGGCUCACUAAUGUACCUAGCCAGUGCAACAAGACCUGAUAUCUCAUACGCUGUGAGCAAGUUGAGCCGGUUUGUAUCAAACCCGGGAGAUGAUCAUUGGCGUGCUCUUGAGAGAGUAAUGCGGUAUCUAAAGGCAACCGCAAGCUAUGGCAUACACUAUACCGUGUACCCAAAGGUACUGGAGGGUUUCAGUGAUGCAAAUUGGAUAUCUGAUGCUGACGAAUUAAAAGCCACCACUAGGUAUGUGUUUACCCUUGCUGGUGGUGCUGUUUCCUGGAAGUCUUGCAAGCAGACCAUCAUCACGAGGACAACUAUGGAAGCAGAACUUGCAGCACUGGACACCGCCACUGUUGAAGCCGAAUGGCUUCGAGAACUCCUGAUGGAUUUGCCGGUGGUUGAAAAACCUGUGCCCGCCAUCUCCAUGAACUGUGAUAAUCAAACUGUGAUAAUCAAAGUGAACAGUUCUAAGGAUAACUUGAAAACCACAAGGCAUGUAAAGCGGCGCUUAAAGUCUGUCAGGAAAUUGAGAAACUCCGGAGUGAUAGCAUUGGACUAUGUCCACACAUCUAAAAAUCUGGUAGAUCAAUUCACCAAGGGGCUGUCACAAAAUGUGAUAGACAGUGCAUCGGUUGAGAUGGGACUAAGACCCACUUAAGUUUGCUAUAGUGGUAACCUGCUCUAUGUGAUCGGAGAUCCCGUGAAUUAGAGUGGUGAAACAAGCUAUGAGUAGACUGAGGGAAAAGACCCUUAACUAAGGUCCCAAUCUUUCAGAUAUGCAUUUCUUUUCCAAGCUGUAAGGAAGGAUGGCAUACGCCUUAAUGUGAUCCGAGUGGCUCAUUUGAGCAGGGAUGUUGACCUACAGGACAUCCUAGAAGGAACACACCUAUGUGAGUUAGACUGCUGGUCACAGUCUAUGAGAUUUGGGUGAUCUCUAGAUACUCCUAAGAAGGCACGGAGUUUGACUUAUAUGCUCCACCCGAGGAGGUGCUCUAGGCAGCCUUGUAUCGGUAAAGAAUUUGAGUGAACCUCAUUUCACACAAAACUGUCAAUUCAAGGCUUAGUCCAUUGAUCAGUUGUGAAUGAGUGUAAGCUCCUUUUCUAGAUGGAAGUUCAACUUAACAGUCUCCAUCGAAACACCGGUAUAUCAAACAAGCUCAAAACUGAAGGCAUUAACUGUGUACCUUUGACGUUUGGUGGGGAUUGUUAGUGUAAUUGCGCCAGGCCCAUUCUAAUAAAUAAAACCUCAAAGGCACACAAUUAGUGUUAGGUGCAAAAGUGAUUAGUACCAAAUGGACUAAUAACUAGCAAGGCAAUCAACUUAAAUAGUGAGCCUUGGGAUGCUCCAAUAGAUAAGUUGAGGAGGAGAACCGGGAAGCCACACGCGCGCGCCGCCGAGCCGUGCCGUGGGCGUGGGCGUGGGCGUGGGCGUGGGCGUGGCUAGAUGGGGUUUUGCCACUCGGCCCAACCGAGAGGAAACCCUAGCCACCACAGUCCAACGGCCAUAAGGGGAAACCCUAGCCAGCUGCUCAACCGCCAACUCCCAACCACUUUGUCCAGGUUCAUCCCCCCUUGGGUGGAAGCCGACAGGGGCGUGCCUAUAUAAAGGCCCCUGUCUGUGCACUAGGGUUUCAUCCCUUGUGUGUCCAUUUCCCCUCUCCAGCCGCCACAUUCUUUUGAGCUCGAGCUGCUGUGCUGCAUCUCCGACCAGAGCCUCUGCGAGCACAGAGGUCUCUGGUAGCAGGCCUCCGGAACUUCUCCCGUCAAGCGUACUCUGCUCGGGGUAGCGGGAAAUUAAGUUUUUGGGGAGCACCUUCCGGUGUGACUGCUUCCUGUUGUCCCAACGUGACUGCGACUGCUUCACCUUCGUCAACUGCUGCUGCUGUGAUGGCUGUCGGUACCAGAAGUACCCCUGCUGCCGGGAAUGACGUCACCAACGACAACACCGCAGGAGGCGGUAGCGACGUCAACAUGACUGGUGGCUCACUUUCCGCGGGUACCGGAAGUGCCACGCUAGG